AUCUGCAGAAUUCGGCUUCGAUUCCGGAGAGGGAGCCUGAGAAACGGCUACCACAUCUAAGGAAGGCAGCAGGCGCGCAAAUUACCCAAUCCUGACUCAGGGAGGUAGUGACAAGAAAUAACAACACUGGAAAUUUUAUUUCUAGUGAUUGGAAUGAUGGGAAUUUAAACCCCUUUCAGAGUAACAAUUGGAGGGCAAGUCUGGUGCCAGCAGCCGCGGUAAUUCCAGCUCCAAUAGCGUAUAUUAAAGUUGUUGCAGUUAAAAAGCUCGUAGUUGGAUGUCUGCUGGAAGCAAUCAGUCCGCCCUAUUUGUAGGGUGUGCACUUGAUGAAUUCUGGCAUCUAUGUCCCAAUGAUGUAUUAUUGUAUGAUGGCGUACGUAUAUAGGUUAAUCC
rnacentral:rRNA from 1 species